rnacentral:rRNA from 1 species
GAUGAACGCUAGCGACAGGCCUAACACAUGCAAGUCGAGGGGCAUCGGGGUGUAGCAAUACGCUGCCGGCGACCGGCGGAUGGGUGAGUAACGCGUAUGCAACCUGCCUUCAGCAGGGGGAUAGCCCGUUGAAAGACGGAUUAAUACCCCAUAACACAGGGGCUCCGCAUGGAGAUUAUUGUUAAAGGGAUACUUCCUUCGGGGGGUAUUCCGGCUGAAGAUGGGCAUGCGUUCCAUUAGGUAGUUGGUUGAGGUAACGGCUCACCAAGCCUGCGAUGGAUAGGGGAACUGAGAGGUUGGUCCCCCACACUGGUACUGAGACACGGACCAGACUCCUACGGGAGGCAGCAGUGAGGAAUCUUGGUCAAUGGACGGAAGUCUGAACCAGCCAUGUCGCGUGAAGGAGGACGGCCCUAAGGGUUGUAAACUUCUUUUGCAGGGGAAUAAAGUAUUCCACGAGAUGGGAUAUUGCAAGUACGCUGCGAAUAAGGAUCGGCUAACUCCGUG